rnacentral:rRNA from 1 species
UAAUACAGAGGUGGCAAGCGUUGUUCGGAAUCACUGGGCAUAAAGGGCGCGUAGGCGGCGAGGCAAGUCGGGUGUGAAAUCCCUCAGCUCAACUGAGGAACUGCGCCCGAAACUACCUUGCUAGAGUGCAGGAGAGGAGAGUGGAACUCCUAGUGGAGCGGUGAAAUGCGUAGAGAUUAGGAGGAACGCCGGUGGCGAAAGCGACUCUCUGGCCUGUAACUGACGCUGAGGCGCGAAAGCUAGGGGAGCAAACGGGAUUAGAUACCCCGGUAGUCCUAGCCGUAAACGAUGGGCACUAAGUAGGGGGGUCUCCGAUGACCUCUCUGCCGGAGCUAAUGUAUUAAGUGCCCCGCCUGGGGAGUAUGGUCGCAAGGCUG